CCUACGGGAGGCAGCAGUGAGGAAUUUUCCGCAAUGGGCGAAAGCCUGACGGAGCAAUACCGCGUGAGGGAUGAAGGAUUUUGGUCUGUAGACCUCUUUUCUCAAGAAAGAAGUUCUGACGGUACUUGAAGAAUAAGCAUCGGCUAACUCCGUGCCAGCAGCCGCGGUAAUACGGGGGAUGCAAGCGUUAUCCGGAAUGAUUGGGCGUAAAGCGCCUGUAGGUUGUUUAUUAAGUCCGUUGUUAAAGCCUAGGGCUCAACCCUAGAAAAGCAAUGGAAACUAGUAGACUAGAGUAUGGCAGGGGUAGAGGGAAUUUCUAGUGUAGCGGUGAAAUGCGUAGAUAUUAGAAAGAACACCGGUGGCGAAAGCGCUCUACUGGACCAUUACUGACACUCAGAGGCGAAAGCUAGGGUAGCAAAAGGGAUUAGAUACCCCUGUAGUCCUAGCCGUAAACGAUGGAUACUAGAUGUUGUGCAUUAUGUACAGUAUCGUAGCUAACGCGUUAAGUAUCCCGCCUGGGGAGUACGCUCGCAAGGGUGAAACUCAAAGGAAUUGACGG
rnacentral:rRNA from 1 species